CUUUAAUGAUGAAUCUAUCCCGAACCUGAUCCUCUCUAUGACUGACACAGCUUUAUGGAUCUGACUUCUGAUUA
ensembl:snoRNA